rnacentral:lncRNA from 1 species
GGAACCACUAAUGUGAUCUCUUCACCUUCAUUAGCAGAUUCCUUGGCUGCUGGUGCAGUCAUAUAAAAAAAAAAAGCAGAAAAAGCUGCUGGCUUUAAGGUGGGGUAGGUGAGCAGGACUGCUGUCCCUGGGUUGUAGACAAUGGAACCUCUAACCCUGAGCCUCCAACAGGGCAAGCUGUGAGGAAGGAACAGGAGAGGGUUAACAUCAACUGAUUUUACUAAUUGUUUUCCAUUAGGAGGGCAACUCAGCCAGAAUAGGAGCCUGAUCCUCUUAGCUACUAAUCCUGUUGCUACAACCACUAGAUGCUGUGAUAACCCUCCUGAUUUUUAUGUCAGCCAAGGUUACUACCAAGCUGCAGGAGCUCACUGAAUAAACCACUGAACACUGGGAAUUCUCCCACUAUAUCACAAUUGCAGAAGCAGAGGUGCUAGGUAAGUUUAUGCCAGUCCUAUGGGAACAUUUAAAAAAAGUUUAAUAGCCCUUAAAAUUUCUCAUUUCUAACCUCUCAUAGGUUUACCUCAUCAUGACAGCUCAUUUUGCUGUGUUAUAAAAGCAGAUAGAAAAUUAGAUUUCUGGCUCGAGAUCUCACUAAAACCAUCAUUCCUGUUUAAGUCAGCAAUAGCCACAUAACAUUUAUGCCUGGAUAGUAAUUUCUUUCUGCAUCUAUUCCAUCAACAGAGCAACACAUUGCAUGGCUUGAAAUGCUUCUGGUCUAAUUAGAAGAGCUUACAAAAUUCUGUGUAAAGAUUAUCUGAAAAGAUCACUGGAAAUAAUAAAUAAGAGGAG